ACGCUGGCGGCGUGCCUAAUACAUGCAAGUCGAGCGGACUUGAUGGAGUGCUUGCACUCCUGAGAGUUAGCGGCGGACGGGUGAGUAACACGUAGGCAACCUGCCCUCAAGACUGGGAUAACUACCGGAAACGGUAGCUAAUACCGGAUAAUUUAUUUCGCAGCAUUGUGGAAUAAUGAAAGACGGAGCAAUCUGUCACUUGGGGAUGGGCCUGCGGCGCAUUAGCUAGUUGGUGGGGUAAUGGCUCACCAAGGCGACGAUGCGUAGCCGACCUGAGAGGGUGAACGGCCACACUGGGACUGAGACACGGCCCAGACUCCUACGGGAGGCAGCAGUAGGGAAUCUUCCGCAAUGGGCGAAAGCCUGACGGAGCAACGCCGCGUGAGUGAUGAAGGUUUUCGGAUCGUAAAGCUCUGUUGCCAAGGAAGAACGUCUUCUAGAGUAACUGCUAGGAGAGUGACGGUACUUGAGAAGAAAGCCCCGGCUAACUACGUG
rnacentral:rRNA from 2 species